UACGUAGGGGGCAAGCGUUGUCCGGAAUUAUUGGGCGUAAAGAGCUCGUAGGCGGUUUGUCGCGUCUGCUGUGAAAUCCCGAGGCUCAACCUCGGGUCUGCAGUGGGUACGGGCAGACUAGAGUGUGGUAGGGGAGAUUGGAAUUCCUGGUGUAGCGGUGGAAUGCGCAGAUAUCAGGAGGAACACCGAUGGCGAAGGCAGAUCUCUGGGCCAUUACUGACGCUGAGGAGCGAAAGCAUGGGGAGCGAACAGG
rnacentral:rRNA from 1 species